rnacentral:rRNA from 1 species
AACGAACGCUGGCGGCAGGCCUAACACAUGCAAGUCGAGCGAGGACUUCGGUCCUAGCGGCGGACGGGUGAGUACCGCGUGGUAACGUGCACUUUGCUACGGAAUCGCCCUGGGAAACUGGGAGUAAUACCGGAUGAGCCCUUUGGGGGAAAGAUUUAUCGGCGAAGGAUCGGCCCGCGUUGGAUUAGGUAGUUGGUGGUGUAAUGGCCUCCCAAGACGACGAUCCAUAGCUGGUGUGUGAGGAUGAUUAGCCACACUGGGACUGAGACACGGCCCAGACUCCUACGAGAGGCAGCAGUGGGGAAUCUUAGGCAAUGGGGGAAACCCUGAUCUAGCCAUGCCGCGUGAGCGAUGAAGGCCUUAGGGUUGUAAAGCUCUUUCAGCUGGGAAGAUAAUGACGGUACCAGCAGAAGAAGCCCCGGCUAACUCCGUG